GUAAAUUCCUCCAUUUUUGGGUCCAAAAAAUGCCAUUUUUGGGGUCAUUUUGUCCCUUUUUGGUGCUGGAAUCCAUUUUGGGUCCAAAAAUGCCAUUUUUGAGGUAAUUUUCUCCAUUUUGGGUCAAAAAUGCCAUUUUGGGGGGUCAUUUUGUCCCUUUUUGGUGCUGGAAUCCAUUUUAGGCCCCAAAAUGCCAUUUUUGAGGUAAAUUUCUCCAUUUUUGGGUCAAAAAAUGCCAUUUUUGGAGGUCAUUUUAUCCCUUUUUGGUGCUGGAAUCCAUUUUAGGCCCCCAAAAUGCCAUUUUUGAGGUAAAUUCCUCCAUUUUGGGUCAAAAAUGCCAUUUUGGGGGGUCAUUUUGUCCCUUUUUGGUGCUGGAAUCCAUUUUAGGCCCCAAAAAUGCCAUUUUUGAGGUAAAUUCCUCCAUUUUGGGUCCAAAAAUGCCAUUUUUGAGGUCAUUCGUUCCCAUUUUUGGUGCUGGAAUCCAUUUUAGGCCCCAAAAAUGCCAUUUUUGAGGUAAAUUCCUCCAUUUUUGGGUCAAAAAAUGCCAUUUUGGGGGGUCAUUUUGCCCCUUUUUGGUGCUGGAAUCCAUUUUAGGCCCCAAAAUGCCAUUUUUGAGGUAAAUUCCUCCAUUUUGGGUCCAAAAAUGCCAUUUUUGGGGUCAUUCGUUCCCAUUUUUGGGGGUGAAUUCCUCCAUUUUGGUUCUGAAAAAUGCCAUUUUUGGGUCAUUCGUUCCCAUUUUUUUCGCACCAAACCCCAUUUUGAGUCCAAAAAUGCCAUUUUUGGGCAUAAAUCCCUCCAUUUUGGGUCCAAAAAUGCCAUUUUUGGGUCAUUUGGUCCCAUUUUUUGGGGUACAAAACCCCAUUUUUAGUCCAAAAAUGCCAUUUUUGGGUCAUUCGUUCCCAUUUUUUUCGCACCGAACCCCAUUUUGAGUCCAAAAAUGGCAUUUUUGGGCAUAAAUCCCUCCAUUUUGGGUCGAAAAAUGCCAUUUUUGGGGUGAAUUCCUCCAUUUUGGGUCCAGAAAUGCCAUUUUGGGGGUAAAUUCCUCCAUUUUGGGUCCAAAAAUGCCAUUUUUGGGGUCAUUCGUUCCCAUUUUUGGGGGUGAAUUCCUCCAUUUUGGUUUCGAAAAAUACCAUUUUUAGGUCAUUUGUUCCCAUUUUUUCCGCACCAAAACCCAUUUUGGGUCCAAAAAUGGCACUUCGGGGUCAUUCGGUCCCAUUUUUGGGGUGAAUUCCUCCAUUUUGAGUCCAAAAAAUGCCAUUUUUGGGUCAUUUGGUCCCAUUUUUUGGGGUACAAAACCCCAUUUUGAGUCCAAAAAUGCCAUUUUUGGGUCAUUCGUUCCCAUUUUUUUUUCGCACCGAAUCCCAUUUUGGGUCCAAAAAUG
ensembl:lncRNA